GGGAAAGAAGGAGAAAUUUUGUCUGCCCUUGGAAACUCACUGAAGUGUUUGACCCGUGAUAUGGAAUAAACAGUGCAAUUGUUUAAGGUCGUUUUGACAAUGAUGGAUGAAUACAGGUGGUAAGAAAAUACACACCAGUGAGAACAGCUCUGAUGGGACAACUGUCUUGCUACUCUGCUCACAUCAAACUCAAGACUUUUAUUAGUGAAAUCUUGAUAAUUUUUGCACUAUUUUUCUUUCAUCUAAAUAAGAACUAUAACAAAGAUUGAAGAUGGCUGUCCCUCGUGAUGAGAUUAUGUGGAUUUAAAAAUGUUGCUGUCCUUUCUCAAAUAAGCUGAAAACGUAUUGAGUAAAGUUGAGGUCCAAAGCCAGUAUGUCCAAUGACUCAUUGGUAAGUAGACUACAACAUAAUUUCAACAUUUACAACUCCUUCCUCGACUCAUUAUUGGAAUUUUUAUACAUAAUUUUUCAUCUUUUACUGACCCACAUAAUCCAGAAUGCCCAUAUCUAUGAAAUUUAUUUUGUCACAAUCUGAUAUGAUUCCCAUUAAUUGAUUAUUUCUAUCUAAGGAAGAGAGCCCUAAUUUUUUGUGCUUCAUAUAUUUUAAGA